rnacentral:rRNA from 1 species
CCUACGGGAGGCAGCAGUGAGGAAUAUUGGUCAAUGGUCGGGAGACUGAACCAGCCAAGCCGCGUGAGGGAGGAAUGUACAGUGUAUCGUAAACCUCUUUUGUCAGGGAACACAGGCGGGGACGUGUCCCCGGAUGAGUGUAUCUGCAGAAAAAGCAUCGGCUACCUCCGUGCCAGCAGCCGCGGUAAUACGGGGGAUGCGAGCGUUAUCCGGAUUUAUUGGGUUUAAGGGGUGCGCAGGCGGUCUGUUAAGUCAGCGGGCAAAGCCCGGGGCUCAACCCCGACCCGCCGUUGAAACUGGCAGUCUCGAGUUGGAGAGAAGUAUGCGGAAUGCGCGGUGUAGCGGUGAAAUGCAUAGAUAUCGCGCAGAACUCCGAUGGCGAAGGCAGCAUGCCGGCUCCACACUGACGCUGAGGCACGAAAGCGUGGGUAUCGAACAGGAUUAGAUACCCUUGUAGUC